CCUACGGGUGGCAGCAGUGAGGAAUAUUGGUCAAUGGGCGCGAGCCUGAACCAGCCAAGUAGCGUGAAGGAUGACUGCCCUACGGGUUGUAAACUUCUUUUAUAAAGGAAUAAAGUGAGGCACGUGUGCCUUUUUGUAUGUACUUUAUGAAUAAGGAUCGGCUAACUCCGUGCCAGCAGCCGCGGUAAUACGGAGGAUCCGAGCGUUAUCCGGAUUUAUUGGGUUUAAAGGGAGCGUAGGAGGGUUGUUAAGUCAGUUGUGAAAGUUUGCGGCUCAACCGUAGAAGUGCAAUCGAUACUGGCAGGAUAGAGUCUUGUAGAGGUGGGUAGCAUUCCAGGUGUAGCGGUGAAAUGCGUAGAGAUCUGGAGGAAUACCGGUGGAGAAGGCGGUCCACUAGACAACGACUGACGCUCAGGUGCGAAAGGGUGGGGAGCAAACAGGAUUAGAUACCCGAGUAGUC
rnacentral:rRNA from 1 species